AACGAACGCUGGCGGCAGGCUUAACACAUGCAAGUCGAACGCAUCCUUCGGGGUGAGUGGCAGACGGGUGAGUAACGCGUGGGAACGUGCCCUUCAGUUCGGGAUAACCCAGGGAAACUUGGGCUAAUACCGGAUACGUGCGAGAGCAGAAAGAUUUAUCGCUGAAGGAUCGGCCCGCGUCUGAUUAGCUAGUUGGUGGGGUAAUGGCCCACCAAGGCGACGAUCAGUAGCUGGUCUGAGAGGAUGAUCAGCCACAUUGGGACUGAGACACGGCCCAAACUCCUACGGGAGGCAGCAGUGGGGAAUAUUGCACAAUGGGCGCAAGCCUGAUGCAGCGACGCCGCGUGAGGGAUGACGGCCUUCGGGUUGUAAACCUCUUUCAGCAUCGACGAAGCGAAAGUGACGGUAGGUGCAGAAGAAGGACCGGCCAACUACGUGCCAGCCGCCGCGGUAA
rnacentral:rRNA from 1 species